CGAAUUAGAGCUUGAAUAAGUAUUUCAUUUACAUUGAAAUGAUAUUGUUAUUACAAUUAAAUCGA
rnacentral:tRNA from 2 species